AGUGCAGGCUGUGCAGAAGAUCACGGCUGUGCCCUGUGGUGCUGUCAGCAGUGACAGAUCCCAGAUGGAGCCGCUACUGUGUGGCAGAUUGAGUUUCUCAACAGAAAACUCACCCUUCCUCCUAUACGUCUUCAAAAACCUUCCCCGGAUACUCCAUCCAUCCAGGUCGCGACGUUUGAAAUAGAAACAGUCCAACCCCAAAGUUGGUUUUGAGUGCGUGCUUGUAGGCUAGGUUUAUUUUCCCCCCUUCCUCUUUGCUCUGUACUUCCCCUCCUUUGUGUAUCUUCAAUUCAUAGCGUAGAUGCGGUGGGCCUGGGGGUUCCUGUUCACCCAGCUCACGGCACCGUUGAACCAGCACUGAGGGGUCCCCGAAGGCAAGGCAAUCCAGUGGGUAGAAGCUGUCGUCGUCAGCGAUGCGGAGUGAGUCUGUGGCACACGAGGGGAAGUCAAGCCUGCCUGACUCCUCAGGGAGGCAGUGCGGAGUGCGUGAUUAGGGAGGCUGGGUGUUAACGUGGUGGUUGGAGUCGGUCGAGGAUGGAUGAGAUCUGUGGGAGCCAAGAACCCUUAGGAAGAGGGAAAGAGUACUCUGCGUGGAUCCGAGCUGCGGUCUGAGCGGUGAGACUGGUGGACUCCGGCCUUCUCAAGAUAGGCUUUCCACGGAGACUCCAGUUGGAAACUAAAACCCAAGACCACCAAGAGGGAGAUUUAAAGGAGAGCAAGAAACCAUGGAGAAAGGAACAGCCACAGGAAAGAAAAGAGUUGCCCACCGCUUUUGAAGGACAUGCAGAUUUUUUUUUUCCCAAAGCACUUUCUGACUUUUCUCAACACACUUCCUAGAACCCAUUUUCCUUGUUCUUAUUCUGAAGGUUUUGUUUUGUUUUUGUUUGCAUAUUCCUGCAAGACUUUCGGAUUGGCAGUGGAAGGGGAAAUCAGCAGCCGGCACGAGACUUGGGUGGGAAAAUAAAGCCCUGUCGGCUCCCGCCCUAGGUCCAGUCUAAGGCACUCCCCUCCUGGCUACCGCAGGAGCAGACUGAGCCUCCGCCCGCCUAUGGCUGAGCCCCUGGGCUGCUGGCCACGGGGUAAUCUGGGCCAGAGUGAUCGUGCUACAUUUAUUAACGACUAGACAGAUUACUUAAGCCAAGUCCCCAAAGAAAGGGAUCCAAAUGAGUAAAACAGUUGCAGCUCCGCUGCCAAGGCUGCGAGUCGGAGAAUCCCGCUUGUUGACAGAGUCGCAGCUUCUUAGGCUUCUCCCGGUUUUAGGACGAGGUGAUGCCCCUUGGUGGGCUCAGCGCUCUGGGGCUUGCAGUCGUGCGAGGCUGAAAGGUAAUUAUUGGAACUAUUAGACGAUGCUACACCUGGCUGUUGAAAUUUGAAGUCACGUCUGGUGUACUUCAGAAAACAUUGCGGGCUUUCUUUUUCUUCCUCAACAAAUUUAGUGUCUAUCUUUUACUAAUAAUGACAUAGUCCUAAAAGCCGUCAGAUCCGCAACGGCGAACGGAUGAAUGCAGUCAGGGGUCGCACACUUUGGUUUCUGGGCUGACUUGUGGCCCUCCUUAUCUUUGUGUUAACAAAACCAGAAUAUUAAAGUGUGGCCUAUAGACUAACCUCACCACUGUGCGGUUCCUUCAAGUCUUCAAGGAAAAUCUCUCUUCUCCUGUUAGGGUGUGUCCUGCCAGACCGG